rnacentral:rRNA from 1 species
AACGUAGGGGUCAAGCGUUAUCCGGAAUUACUGGGCGUAAAGGGCGAGUAGGUGGUUAUACAAGUUAAGUGUGAAAGCUCCCGGCUCAACUGGGAGAGUGCACUUAAAACUGUAUAACUAGAGGAUGGUAGAGGCAAGUGGAAUUUCCGGUGUAGCGGUGAAAUGCGUAGAUAUCGGGAGGAACACCAGUGGCGAAGGCGGCUUGCUGGGCCAUACCUGACACUGAGACGCGACAGCUAGGGGAGAGAACGGG